rnacentral:rRNA from 1 species
GGACUACUGGGGUAUCUAAUCCCGUUUGCUCCCCUGGCUUUCGUGUCUCAGUGUCAGCACACCCCCAGCUACCUGUUUUCACCAUUGGCGUUCCAAGCGAUAUCUACGCAUUUCACCGCUCCACCGCUUGUUCCGGUAGCCCCUGAGUGGCUCAAGACACCCAGUAUACCCAGCCAUUCCACGGUUAAGCCGUGGGAUUUCACAAGGUACUUAGGCAUCCACCUACACACGCUUUAAGCCCAGUGAUUCCGCCUAACGCUUGAGGCCUCUGUAUUACCGCGGCUGCUGGCAC